rnacentral:rRNA from 1 species
AUUGAACGCUGGCGGCAGGCUUAACACAUGCAAGUCGAGCGGGGAAGGGUAGCUUGCUACCUGACCUAGCGGCGGACGGGUGAGUAAUGCUUAGGAAUCUGCCUAUUAGUGGGGGACAACAUUCCGAAAGGAAUGCUAAUACCGCAUACGCCCCACGGGGGAAAGCAGGGGAUCUUCGGACCUUGCGCUAAUAGAUGAGCCUAAGUCAGAUUAGCUAGUUGGUAGGGUAAAGGCCUACCAAGGCGACGAUCUGUAGCGGGUCUGAGAGGAUGGUCCGCCACACUGGGACUGAGACACGGCCCAGACUCCUACGGGAGGCAGCAGUGGGGAAUAUUGGACAAUGGGCGCAAGCCUGAUCCAGCCAUGCCGCGUGUGUGAAGAAGGCCUUUUGGUUGUAAAGCACUUUAAGCGAGGAGGAGGCUACUGAGAUUAAUACUCUUGGGUAGUGGACGUUACUCGCAGAAUAAGCACCGGCUAACUCUGUGCCAGCCGCCGCGGUAA